rnacentral:rRNA from 1 species
GGGUAACCUGCCUGUAAGACCGGGAUAACUCCGGGAAACCGGUGCUAAUACCGGAUAGAUUAUCUUUCCGCCUGGAGAGAUAAGGAAAGAUGGCUAUUGCCAUCACUUACAGAUGGGCCCGCGGCGCAUUAGCUAGUUGGCGAGGUAACGGCUCACCAAGGCAACGAUGCGUAGCCGACCUGAGAGGGUGAUCGGCCACACUGGGACUGAGACACGGCCCAGACUCCUACGGGAGGCAGCAGUAGGGAAUCUUCCGCAAUGGACGAAAGUCUGACGGAGCAACGCCGCGUGAGCGAAGAAGGUCUUCGGAUCGUAAAGCUCUGUUGUUAGGGAAGAACAAGUAUCGGAGGAAAUGCCGGUACCUUGACGGUACCUGACGAGAAAGCCACGGCUAACUACGUGC